rnacentral:rRNA from 1 species
GAACUGAAGAGUUUGAUCAUGGCUCAGAUUGAACGCUGGCGGCAGGCCUAACACAUGCAAGUCGAGCGGUAGAGAGGUGCUUGCACCUCUUGAGAGCGGCGGACGGGUGAGUAAUGCCUAGGAAUCUGCCUGGUAGUGGGGGAUAACGCUCGGAAACGGACGCUAAUACCGCAUACGUCCUACGGGAGAAAGCAGGGGACCUUCGGGCCUUGC